CUUAGCUCAAAUGUUAGAGCAUCGCAUUUGUAAUGCGAUGGUCAUAUGUUCGAAUCCGAUAG
rnacentral:tRNA from 1 species